rnacentral:rRNA from 1 species
AUUGAACGCUGGCGGCAGGCCUAACACAUGCAAGUAGAACGAGUGGCGGACGGGUGAGUAAUGUCUGGGAAACUGCCUGAUGGAGGGGGAUAACUACUGGAAACGGUAGCUAAUACCGCAUACCAUCGGAUGUGCCCAGAUGGGAUUAGCUAUUAGGUGGGGUAAAGGCUCACCUAGGAGACGAUCCCUAGUUGGUUUGAGAGGAUGACCAACCGCAAUGGAACUGAUACACGGUACAGACGCCUAGAGAAGGCAGCAGUGGGGAAUAGUGCGCAAUGGGCGCAAGCAGGAUGCAGCCAGGCCGGGUGUAUGAAGAAGGCCAUCGGGUUGUAAAGUACUUUCAGCGGGGAGGCGUUACCCGCAGAAGAAGCACAGGCUAACUACGUGCCAGCAGCCGCGGUAAUUC